rnacentral:rRNA from 1 species
AUUGAACGCUGGCGGCAGGCCUAACACAUGCAAGUCGAGCGAGCGGCGGACGGGUGAGUAAUGUAUGGGGACUGCCCGAUAUAGGGGGAUAACUCCUGGAAACGGUGGCUAUUACCGCAUACUAUCGGAUAACCCAUAUGGGAUUAGCUAGUAGGUAAGGUAAUGGCUUACCUAGGCGACGAUCCCUAGCUGGUCUGAGAGGAUGAUCCGCCACACGGGGACUGAGACACGGCCCAGACUCCUACGGAGGCAGCAGUGGGGAAUAGUGCACAAUGGGCGCAAGCCUGAUGCAGCCAUGCCGCGUGUAUGAAGAAGGCCCUAGGGUGGUAAAGUACUUUCAGUCGGGAGGCGUUACCGACAGAAGAAGCACCGGCUAACUCCGUGCCAGCAGCCGCGGUAAUUC